UACAGAGACUGCAAGCGUUAUUCGGAUUCACUGGGCGUAAAGGGUGCGCAGGCGGCCGUGUGUGUGAGGCGUGAAAGCCCGGAGCUCAACUCCGGAAUUGCACCUCAAACUACACGGCUAGAGCAUUGGAGAGGGUAGCGGAAUUCACGGUGUAGCAGUGAAAUGCGUAGAUAUCGUGAGGAACACCAGAGGCGAAGGCGGCUACCUGGCCCAACAUUGACGCUGAGACCCGAAAGCGUGGGGAUCAAACAGG
rnacentral:rRNA from 1 species